GGUAGCAAUACUGCGCUGUCGAGUGGCGCACGGGUGCGUAACACGUAUGCAACCUACCCUUAACUGGGGAAUAACCCUGUGAAAGCGGGGCUAAUACCCCAUAAUAUUAUGGUAAGGCAUCUUACUAUUAUCAAAGAUUUAUCGGUUAGGGAUGGGCAUGCGCCCCAUUAGUUAGUUGGUUAGGUAACGGCUAACCAAGACUGUGAUGGGUAGGGGUUCUGAGAGGAUUAUCCCCCACACUGGUACUGAGACACGGACCAGACUCCUACGGGAGGCAGCAGUAAGGAAUAUUGGGCAAUGGACGCAAGUCUGACCCAGCCAUGCCGCGUGCAGGAUGACGGCCUUAUGGGUUGUAAACUGCUUUCGUAUGGGAUUAAAGUGUUGUACGUGUACGACAUUGCAAGUACCAUACGAAUAAGCAUCGGCUAACUCCGUGCCAGCAGCCGCGGUAAUACGGUGGAUGCAAGCGUUAUCCGGAAUCAUUGGGUUUAAAGGGUGCGUAGGUUGAUUAUUAAGUCAGUGGUGAAAAUUCCGGGCUCAACCCGGGACUUGCCGUUGACACUGAUAAUCUUGAGUGUAACUGAUGUGGGCGGAAUGUGUCAAGUAGCGGUGAAAUGCACAGAUCUGACACAGAACACCGAUAGCGAAGGCAGCUCACAACAUUACAACUGACACUGAGGCACGAAAGCGUGGGUAUCAACCAGGAUUAGAUACCCUGGUAGUCCACGCUGUAAACGAUGAUCACUAGGCUGUUUGCGAUACAUUGUAAGUGGUAAGCGAAGCGAUAAGUGAUCCACCUGGGGAGUACGUCGGCACGAUGAACUCUAAGGUUUGUCGGGGCCCGCUCAAGCGGAGGAGCAUGUGGUUUUAUUCGAUGAUACGCGAGGAACCUUACCUGGGCUUGACGUAUGGUGCAUGAGUGUGAAAGCACUCUUUCCUUCACAGGACUUCAUACGAGGUGCUGCAUGGUUGUCGUCAGCUCGUGCCGUGAGGGUAGGUUAAGUCCUCACGAGCGCUACCCCUGUUUUUAGUUGCCAGCAGGUUAUGCUGGCACUCUAGAAAGACUGCUGCGCAGCAGAGAGAAGUGGGGAUGACGUCAAUCAGCCGGCCUUACGUCCAGGGCUACACACGUGU
rnacentral:rRNA from 1 species